rnacentral:misc_RNA from 1 species
AAUUACUUCCUUUUUGUAUUCUUUCGAACAUUUUCAGUUCGAAUACCUUUCAUUCCUAUGUAUUUCUUUAAUAAUUGUUGAAAAUAAAAGGCUAUAAAAUAUAUACGUUUCGUUUAUCAAAGGUAACGUAAUUGCAUUGAAUAAAUGUCAAUUACUCACUUUCUGAAGAAAAGGUCGAUUCUUUCAACUACUAUGCAGAUAAAUAGGGCGUUUAUUAUUUGGAUAAAAGAGAAAAGGAGAAUUGUUAAAAAAUUACCUCUAUUUUGUGUAUCUACAUCUUCAUUGUAGUUAAAAUACCAGUAAAAAUAGGAUAUAAAGAGACUGUAUGUACUAUUUAUCUAUAUUAGUUGAACGUAGAAGGUAAUAAACUACGUACCUCUCCUAUUUCAAAGCUUCCUAAUUUCUUUAUUCCCACACGGUAAUGGAUGUAAGAUAAACGAAGCUCUGGUAAUGGGGUUUCGGACAUAAUUAACGGUCUGUCUAUUACCAUUACGCUGAGUGUAAGAGGAUUAUGAGAGAGAGGAAUGAAACUAGUAUUCGACAUUGCCCGAAUCCGUGCAAUGAGAAAAUUGCUUGUUUACCAAUAGAGUCUAAGGAGAAAGAUAAAGGAAAGAAUUUUCUCGAUCCUCUAAAGGUAAAUGCAAGCCAAGAAGUAAAAAAAUAUGGUUUUGAAUUAUGCUAUAGCGUAUAUAAUAAAUCGAAUAGCGUGAUUAAAAAUUACUAUGAACAUGACCGUGAAUGGCCCUUUUUCAAGUAUGUUUUCAUUCUCUCUUUAUCCUCACCUCUUUCUUUUUUUUCCCUUAUGAUCUUUUAAAAUUGAACAGAAAAUCUUAUAGCUAUUUUUUUUAGAGAUUAUCAUUCAAAAUUCUUUAUUAUUGAUAAUAAAACUGAGGUUACGUUGUUUGACAAACAAGUGUUUUGUAUGUGCAAAUUUGGCUACAAAGAAAUAAGCCAAUACAAACGGACUGUUUGCUUUCCAGAUGAAAAAAUACAAGCGACGAAAGGUUGCAAGCGUCCUGACAAAGGAGAUGGCAUUGAUGAUGGAUGUGGAUUAGGUGGCAAGUGCCAAAUGGUGAACGAUAAACCUGAGUGCGUUUGUCAUGCUUCAUACACCGGCAAGUUUUGCGAAACGAAAAUUGAUAUUUGCUCCGAAAUUGAAAAACCUAGUCAUCAGUUUCAUAAUCUUAAAUGCCAAUAUGGUCAAUGUCAACAUUUCGUUCAGUCCAGAUUCGGGUUUCGUUGUAUAUGUAAUGGUAAAGACGGUAUGAUUACCAGAAGGACUGCUGGUAACGCUUGGAAUUUGAAUCCAUCUUGUGAGGAUGUUAAUGAAUGCCAACCGGAAGAAACUUGCGAAAAGAAUGGAUUAAAUUGCUCAGGUACGAGUUCAACAGACGGAAGGGAUUCUCCGACUUGUAGCUAUCAAGGUGUAUGCAUCAAUACGAUAUCUUCUUUUAAUUGCUCUUGUAAUCCGGAUUACAGUGGUAGGACAUGUAAUAGAUAUACCGGAGUAAUUCCCCAAUGGUCUAGUUGGGAAUCUACCGACGAAUGUUGGAUUCCUGCCGAUAAAGAUUGUUUUAAUCCGGGAGAUCGAUUUAGUGAAAAGCAAAUUAGAAGGUUAAUUUGUCGGAAAAAAAGUGAAAUGGGAUCCCAUCCUUGCACUCGAAAAGAACUUGAAGAAGGGCCAGAAACGAAAGGCAAUUACAUUGACCUUGUACAAUAUAAACAAAAUAAGAAUAUAGAUUGUUCGGCUUUUAAUCAAUUACCACGCUGUUCGAAUGUCGUUAAUUCAGGAAGAUACGAUCCUGAGCUCAUUAGGAAGCAUAUUCGAAACGUUUUAAACGGUAUGAAUAGUGAAGUUGAUCUGAAAAAUUUGACCGAUCUUCCUGAAGAUGUAUACGAUCCUUUCAUAGAAGGCCCAAUUAGGCAUUAACAUCAAAGGAGUUUUGAAUUAGAAGCAAAUGGGUUAAUUCUCUUCAAAAGCUACCGCCAUUUUCUCUUCAUCAUCACUUAAAUAACCCGCCUUUUUUUUAUCUACACCAUCGAAUUUCAGAAAGAAAAGAGGGAAUAAUUGAUAAACUUCCCAUAUGAAAGCAUUAUUUAUAAUAAAAUGUUUGUCUUAUUUGUCAGAAACGAUUAUAUUAAUCGUUUGGGACUAGUUUUUUAUAUACAUAUAUAUAUAAAAAGAAGUCGGAUUAAAUAAUAAAAAGUUACAAAACAUUAUAUA